CUGCUUUUCGCUGGGAGCCUGGCGGGAGAGGGGAAUGUGCAAGGGGCUGAGUCAGAGGCCAGCAGAGGCCCUUUAUCAAGUGGGGUUUACCCUGACAAGUCAUUCCAUACAAGCUGUCCAGAUGAGCAAGCUUGCCUCAAACGCCCAUCUUUGAUUCCAGGACCCAGAAAAUGACUGCUUUUGAUGUACUUAUUAUGCAGCCGGGGUCACUAGGCACAGAGUUAUCAUGAAGCUAAUGAAAAUGAGACUCCAGCCCUCUCACUUCACAGCCCUCGUCGGAGGCUCACGCAGGAGCCCCAGCAACACAUUCAUGGCUAUUUGCUUUCGUAAACUUGGCAGCGGCUCACCUCUUGCAAAGACCUGCACUACCAAGAGAGUCAGAAUGCUGCAGCCGCUGUGGAAGACAAUGUGGCAGUCCCUCAAAACGUUAAACAUACAACUACCGUAGGCUCCAGCAAUUCCACUUCUGGGUAUUUACGCACAAGAAUUGAAAGCAGGGACUCAAACAGAUAACUGGACUCCCGUUUUCAUACCGGCAUUAUUCACAAUAGCCAAGAGGUGGAAGCAACCCAAGUGUCCAUGGAUAAAUGGGGAAACAAAAUAUGGUAUAUACAUGCAACAGAAUAUUUUUCAGCUUUAGAAAGGGAGUUUUUUCCUCCCAAUACAGGCCUUUUAUUGGAUCUUUAAAAUAUCAUAAAUAGGUCUUAGGAACCAUCCAGCAUCUUGCUAUUUCUGUAGCUAGACAACUUAGAUCUUAUUCAUCCACCCGCUGAACUGUUUCUGUCUCAGAAACAUAGAUAACAUCCAGAAAUGUUCUGCUAUCCUUGUUUUUAACUGUUGUGGCAUGCUCAGUCAAAGCAGCUGAAUCUGAAACAAGUUCAAUGUCGUUUCCUUCAAGAAUUAACUCAUCUUUCUAGGCUUGAGAUACUGAACAGGCAAUCCCAGGCCUCAGCUGAACCCUGCGGAUGUAUUUUUCACCCAAGAAAUUUCGGAUCUCAACAAGAGACCCAUUCUCCUGAAUAACCACGUUGAUAGGGAAGUGAGCACACACAGACCUCAGCUUGUAACGGAAGCCCCGUGUAACACCCUUCCUCACAUUCUGUACGUGACUGAAGAUAGUGCCCGCAUCAGCCAGUUCCUUUCUAUUUCCCCAGCAUUUAUCAGCCCG
rnacentral:lncRNA from 1 species